CUACACAGUGUAGGUAGAGAAGUAGUUGGUGAUCUCUCACCUAGUUCACCUAGCGAACUGCGCCGUGUAUUCCCAAGUUAUACGAUCAAAGUCCAUCAUCUGUGCUCUAGCUCAGCUGACAGGUGUGUCCACACAGGAAGCAGAGAACUUGUUCCUUGCUGGUCCUCAGCACAGCAGAAGUGAGAUUGAAGACUUUGACCCGAGAAUAACCUGUCAAAUGAAAAAGGACGGUCUGCUGUAGGACUGUACAUUUUUGUUAUUGCUUUUCACUUUUCUAAGUGUUUUUUUUUCUCAAAAGAAAUUUUUUACUUUACAC